UACGAGGGGGGCAAGCGUUGUUCGGAAUUAUUGGGCGUAAAGGGCGCGUAGGCGGUGCGGUAAGUCACCUGUGAAAACUCUGGGCUCAACUCAGAGCCUGCAGGCGAAACUGCCGUGCUUGAGUGUGGGAGAGGUGCGUGGAAUUCCCGGUGUAGCGGUGAAAUGCGUAGAUAUCGGGAGGAACAUCAGUGGCGAAAAGCGGCUUCCUGGACCAGUACCGACGGUUCAGGCACGAAAGCGUGGGGAGCAAACAGG
rnacentral:rRNA from 1 species